AAUGUCACAGACCACUGGCGGGACCCACUUCACAACUGCGUCUAAAUUUUAGUCAUUGGAAUCACAACGUACCUACUAAUGUGGUAUAACUUGUUUGGUAGGUUAUAUGCUAGUGUACAACUUUGUGAACCAACUAUAUAGAGGAAGCAAAAUUUUCAAAAAUCUUGUGAAAUAGGAUGUGAUCGGUAUAGUAAAAUAUGGCUUCGGUAGAAAAAUCACUUUAAUUUUCCAAUGUUUGGGCCCCAAUCGAAGCGGUCAACCCUAUUUACGUUUAUGUUUCACUAAGGAGAGCCCUAUCCUCGGGUGGUAAAUGUCCCCAAAGUUUUACAUGGGUGGUUAAAUCUCAUCUAUGUGAGACUUUAUUGUGUUGAAGAAUCCACCAAACUAAGUCACAAAGAGGUAGAUAAGAUAGUUUUCGUGUGAUAAAUGAAUAUGAAUUAGGGUUGACCGCUUUGAUCGAGCCCCGAACAUUGUUGAAUCCAGUUGAAUUUUAUACCAUAGUCAUGUUUCACUAUAAUGAUCACAUCAUACGGUCAAUUUUCAUUUUGUGAAUUUUAGUCAUCGAAAUCAUAACAUGUCUACUAAAGUAAUAUAACUUGUUUAAUAUGUUAUAUGCUAGUAUACAACUUUGUGAACCAACUAUAUAGAGGAAGCAAAAUUUUCAAAAAUCUCGUGAAAUAUGAUGUGAUCGAUAUAGUAAAAUACAGCUACGGUGGAAAAAUCACUUUAAUUCGCCAAUGUUUGGGCCCCGAUCGAAGCGGUCAACCUUAUUUACGUUUAUGCUUCACUAAGGAGAGCCUUAUCCUCAGGUGGUAAACGGCCCCAAAGUUUUACAUGGGUGGUUAUGUCUCAUCUAUGUGACACUUUAUUGUGUUGAAGAAUCCACCAAAAUAGGUCACAAAGAGGUAGGUAAGAUAGUUUUCGUGUGAGAAGUGAAAAUGAAUUAGGGUUGACCGCUUUGAUUGAGCCCCAAACAUUGUUGAAUCCAGUUGAAUUUUAUACCAUAGCAUUAUUUCACUGUAAUGAUCACAUCAUACGGUCAAUUUUUAUUUUGUGAAUUUUAGUCAUCGGAAUUAUAACGUGCUUACUAAUAUGAUAUAACUUGUUUGGUAGGUUAUAUGCUAGUGUACAACUUUGUGAGCCAACUAUAUAGAGGAAGCAAAA
rnacentral:lncRNA from 1 species